GAUGGAGGUGGCCCAAAGACCCCCCCUCGUAACCUUCUGUAGGUGAACCUGCGGAAGGAUCAUUACCAGAAGUGGGGGUCCUUUUGGGCCCAACCUCCCCUCCGUGUCUAUUGUACCCUGUUGCUUCGGCGGGCCCGCCGCUUGUUGGCCGCCGGGGGGGCGCCUCUGCCCCCCGGGCCCGUGCCCGCCGGAGACCCCAACACGAACACUGUCUGAAAGCGUGCAGUCUGAGUUGAUUGAAUGCAAUCAGUUAAAACUUUCAACAAUGGAUCUCUUGGUUCCGGCAUCGAUGAAGAACGCAGCGAAAUGCGAUAACUAAUGUGAAUUGCAGAAUUCAGUGAAUCAUCGAGUCUUUGAACGCACAUUGCGCCCCCUGGUAUUCCGGGGGGCAUGCCUGUCCGAGCGUCAUUGCUGCCCUCAAGCCCGGCUUGUGUGUUGGGUCGCCGUCCCCCUCUCCGGGGGGACGGGCCCGAAAGGCAGCGGCGGCACCGCGUCCGAUCCUCGAGCGUAUGGGGCUUUGUCACAUGCUCUGUAGGAUUGGCCGGCGCCUGCCGACGUUUUCGCAACCAUUCUUUCCAGGUUGACCCUCCGGAUCCAGGUAGGGAUACCCGCUGUCCUUAAGCA
rnacentral:rRNA from 1 species